UCUUACCUGCUAUCUGAAUCGAAUCCCAUCGUCGUGGUCAACUCCUCUCUGUGUCUCAAGUCCACUGGUGUACAUAGCGAGGUACUGGAAAAACUGGUAACAACGGAAAAGCUGUCCAUAUGAAGACCUGAUGCAGUAAUGCAAGGCUGUUGUGGAAGCCUUCUGAAGAUUUAUUUCCGAGAGCGAGGUCAGUCGAUGGAGAGCAGGAGGAUCUUUAACAUGUCACAACCUGCAACAGAGACAUCACAGUUUACAGGCUUCUAUUCCAUUCAUCUAGCAGAUAUGGUCUUAAAGAUGACACUUAUUGACCACAUCUUUCCAGUCUUCAUCUGUACAAUACAACCACAUUGCGUUAUUUGAAAUA